AGGCACCCUGGGGGAGGAGGGCACAGGGUAAAGAGUUUCGGCCUGCAGCUGCCGUGGCGACGGCCUCAGGCGGCCCCUCUCCGCGCGCCCCACGCCCAGUCUCUGCGGCACCGAGCGCUCGGAAGCCCAGCCUCGGCUGCGCUGGGUUCCCGCGCCCCAGGCGCGCCACCCCCUCCCGCUCCCAGCUCGCCUCCGCGGACCCAUCCCUAGCGAAGCGGACCGCGCCCCUGGCGGUCCAGACCAGCCUCCUCCCCGAGAUGCCCGCCAGCCCUCGGCCCUCCGCACAGAGUCCGAGGCUCCUGUGAGCCGGGCAGCCCCGACUCACGCAGAGCGCGGCGGUACGGCUGCUCCCCAGCCAGCUCCCGCUUCAGGUUGGCGCUGAACAGCAGGAAAGGUAGCUACUCUGCCAUCAUCCUAUCUUAUGGAAGGUGCUGAUUUUCUGAGACCAGAGGAAUACACAGUUGACUGUUCCCCUACCUGCUCCUUUCCUCUUGCAACAUGUGGAUUAGCAUACCCUCCCUUUUUCCCCUCCAGCCUGCUGUUCCCCUUUAAAUAUUGAAGCCCUUAAAUUCAUCUUUGGAGAAAGGCAUGGACCGCAGACUGUUUUGUGAUUCCUUGUUCUUUUCUUCCAGGCAUAUCCUUAACCUUGGCAAAAUAAACUUCUAAAUUAAUUGA